UGUAAUUCAAAACGUAAGUUAAGUUGGUGGAAGAAAAUAUUCCCCACUUUUUAUCAAAAAAAGAAUGAUUGAUUAUAUAAGUCAAGUUGAGUGGAACAAAAAAAAAUCGCCGCGUCACUUAUCUUCAAGAGACAAUUUGAGUGCGACUCCUUCCCCGAUUUUCCAACAAGAUAGACCUAGAAAAUGAUGUUUGUUCUUCAUGCCAUGUCAAUUUUCAAGUCCAUGGAGCUUUUGCUUCCAUGGAGUUUCAUGGAGAUUAUUUUGGUUCUGAGCUUCAGAGGAAGGGCAAGGCAAAAGAGUGACUUGUUGGUGUUGCAGUUCGGCAGUCCAGAGUACCAGGUCGGAUCUACUUCUCUGACCCGUGGCUGAGUGACUCUUCAGCUUCCACUCGAGUUUUCAGGGUGAGCAUGGCGUCCGCUGACCUUGAAGACUUUCCUAUUGCAUGUCUUACUUUUAUUCCAGAGACAUAGAUAUCAUGUAUUAGUACUUUCAUAUUGUAUUAUUCUCCGUAGAUGCUCUUGUAUUAUUCAGACUAGAUCCUAGGGGUAUUACUGUCUUCCGCACUCUUUACUACUAUCUAUCUAUAUAUAUAGUGAGACUUACGUACUUA